UAUAUAUUUCUCUACAGGACCAAGGAGAAGUACUGUAUAUAUUUUUUCAAGAGAGUGAAGAGAUUUAGCAGAAGCAGUCGACGAGCCCAUGGGUUUCUAAAUCAGCGUUUUUUAGAUGUUGCCAGCGUACAAAGAAGUAUCCUUGAUGCUCAUCACACUGUUGCCGCUUGCUUUGCAUUUUGAGUCUAACAGAACACGUUGCAUAUUAACUCAUGUUUUAAGUGGAUCAUCUGAAGCUUCACAGAGAAAUGACUUCAGGAGCUGCCACGGAAGAUCAAACUUAUCGUGUAUAACCAUGUGAUAAGACAUUCAAAGGAAUCAGCUUUCAAGAGGAGACUAAUACGUCUAUCUUUGGUGAAUAAUUAGAAUAUUAGGAAAAAAAAUUGAGAUUCUUCUCAAUAUGUAAAUGUGUGAAGCUAUGGUAUAUGUAAUCUUAUUAUUAUGGUAAUCUUACUGUGUAAUUGAUGUAAAUGAUCUUUACAUAUAUUUGUAUUAUCUCUGUAAAAGCUGAAGGUGUAGUGGUCUUACAAGAUUUGAAAAAAAAGGAAGACUUC